rnacentral:lncRNA from 1 species
GAGGCUGAGGCAGGAGAAUCACUUGAACCUGGGAGGCAGAGGUUGCAGUGAGCCAAGAUAACACCAUUGUACUCCAGCCUAGGCAAAAAGAGCAAAACUCCAUUUCAAAAAGAAAGAAAAAGAAAUAAUGAUGAACUAUAUACAGGAGAUUGGAGUAACUAGGGAUUCAUUAGUAAAAAGAGAAAUCUAAAUAAUAUAGGAAAUCACAGAUAUAUAUGCAUAUACACACACACACACAGGUCUAACAUAUAACAGUACAUCUAAUAGCCAUUCCCCAUAGCCCCCAAAGUUGAGAUCCAGAUCUUAUUGGAGGGCUUGGCCAUGGCUCAUUAGAUGACUUAGAAGUCCAUCAUGGUGCUAUAUUAGUAAAGCAUGCUGGAAAUCUGCUCCCUGGAGUGCAUGCCACUAUAGAACCACUGAGGAGGAUACCAGGGGAACCUGGCUGCUGAGCUGCCAUGCACUUCAAGGGCAGGGCACUAGAGAAGCACCUCAUGCAAUAGGAGCUGGCCUCCAGGGAAGUGAGGUGUGCUGCCUAAGGGGCCUGGUAUUGGAGGAAGCUACACAGGAACUCAAGCAUGCUGCAGGAACCAAGAAAUAAAAUCCUUUUUUCCUGCAAUGUCUCUCCAGCUCCCUCUACUGACAAACUUCAGUGUCAACUGGCAAAGGACAAAUAUUUAAAGGCCCAGGCCUAUUUUCACAGAACAGGCAAAAAGGUUGAAUUUGGAGCUGUGAGGCGUUAAAUCUGCAACUGGCACACAAGAACUGGUAAAAAAUAUUUUUGACUGGCAUUUCUUGGGAAAAUUAUGCCCAAACUAAAUUCACAUUUUUGAAGUGCUGUAUUUAAUAAAAUCUGUGCAAAUUCAGUGCCAGGUGGAGAAAAAUAAAAUAAAAUAAAUAAUAAAAUCACAUACUGGGUAAAAAUCUGACAAAUGGUUCAUGAUCCUGGAAAAUUUGCACCAGGACACCCCACUUACUAAUAUUACUUUUCUGUUAUUGAUAAUGGUGAAAGUUACAUGAUCUCAUAUUUGUCACUAAAAGUGGUGUGAUGUGCAUUAUUUUUAAAUGGCAGUUAAGGGCAAAUGCUUUAUACUUUCUUUCUGUAUGUACAAAGAAAAAAAAAGCAAGAGCUUUGGAGUUGACAAACCUCAUUUGAAUCUGGGCAUGACCACUUACUAACUGUAUGACCUCAGGUAAAUUACUUGAUUGAUUUCCUCACCUG